rnacentral:misc_RNA from 1 species
AUUUUCCUCUGGGUUUUUAUUAUCAUUAGUCUUAGCAGUAAGUGAUCAACUAAUUAGCUUUCUGAGUCUCUUUUCGGACACACUUGCAUACUUAUUCUGUGGUUCCAGAACGAGUGCAUGUCUAAUAUCUUGAAGAGCCUCUUUAUAGAAGAGAAGGGACUCUCUGGCAGUUCCCCUUCUCAUAUAAGCCUUUACAUUCUUUUUAUCAAGU